AGCGACAGAGAAGCUUGCUCCUCUGACGUUAGCGGCGGAGGGAGAUAACACGUGGAUAACCUACCUAUAAGACUGGGAUAACUUCGGAAACCGGAGCUAAUACCGGAUAAUAUAUUGAACCGCAUGGUUCAAUAGUGAAAGACGGUUUUGCUGCCACUUAUAGAUGGAUCCGCGCCGCAUUAGCUAGUUGGUAAGGUAACGGCUUACCAAGGCAACGAUGCGUAGCCGACCUGAGAGGGUGAUCGGCCACACUGGAACUGAGACACGGUCCAGACUCCUACGGGAGGCAGCAGUAGGGAAUCUUCCGCAAUGGGCGAAAGCCUGACGGAGCAACGCCGCGUGAGUGAUGAAGGUCUUCGGAUCGUAAAACUCUGUUAUUAGGGAAGAACAAUUUUUGUAAGUAACUAUGCACGUCUUGACGGUACCUAAUCAAAAGCCACGGCUAACUACGUGCCAGCAGCCGCGGUAAUACGUAGGUGGCAAGCGUUAUCCGGAAUUAUUGGGCGUAAAGCGCGCG
rnacentral:rRNA from 1 species